rnacentral:rRNA from 1 species
CCUACGGGAGGGCAGCAGUGGGGAAUAUUGGACAAUGGGGGGAACCCUGAUCCAGCCAUGCCGCGUGUGUGAAGAAGGCCCUCGGGUUGUAAAGCACUUUCAGUGAGGAAGAACGCCUGGUGGUUAAUACCCAUCAGGAAAGACAUCACUCACAGAAGAAGCACCGGCUAACUCCGUGCCAGCAGCCGCGGUAAUACGGAGGGUGCGAGCGUUAAUCGGAAUUACUGGGCGUAAAGCGCGCGUAGGUGGCUUGAUAAGCCGGUUGUGAAAGCCCCGGGCUCAACCUGGGAACGGCAUCCGGAACUGUCAAGCUAGAGUGCAGGAGAGGAAGGUAGAAUUCCCGGUGUAGCGGUGAAAUGCGUAGAGAUCGGGAGGAAUACCAGUGGCGAAGGCGGCCUUCUGGACUGACACUGACACUGAGGUGCGAAAGCGUGGGUAGCAAACAGGAUUAGAUACCCGGGUAGUC